rnacentral:lncRNA from 1 species
GACCAUGGCACUAUAUAUAACAAACAAUCAUACAAGUAAGAAAACUAUCUAAAUCAUACAAAUAAAACUAUUUUAUAAAAAGGAUAAGAACAAGAGGAUCACCAAGGUGGUGCCGGCGACGGGACGGUGCGGGCGAUCGACGGUGGUUAGGACGGGGACGGAAAGGCACUAAGUAAACCACACCUACACAUAUGCAAACUAAGAAGUUAAUUUGAGCUCAGAUUGCAUAUAAAUCAAAUAAACUCACACAAAAUUACUCCCAAACUAAAACCACAAAUCACUAUACUUAUAGAACAUUCCACCAGCUAAUCUAUCAAUGGGAGCUGAAAGGACAAAGUUGCUAACCUUUGUGAACACUUGGAGAG